CUCACAUGGCAAGGAGAAGUUCAAUGUCUUCGAGCUGAUCGAGCGGUGGCAGACAACAGAGGCCACCAUCGCGAGGUUCUCCGUCAAGCUAGACGCAUAGAGAAGCGCGGAACCCCAUCUAGGGUGGACUUUUUGUGUAUGACAUAUUCUGGGUGUACUUCACUCCAGUUGUCUGUUUGUGGAUACACUCUGGAUAUGACUCUGGGUGCAACGGUGCAUUUUUGGGAUACAUUCUGGUUUUUAAUGUUUAUAUUGGAGAGAUGGAGAACACAGACAAAAACUACCCUAUAACCGUUAAGGU